GGCUGACCAAACCCCGAGACUGGGUCGUCCGGGGCGGGGCGGGCCUCCAGGGAAGGAGCGACUAGGCCCUGAAGAGAGAAGCUGGCGGUCACAGCUGCCUCGCCGCCGAGCCCGAGAGGAGGAAGGCAGAGCUCCCCAGUCCUCGGUCACGGGGCCAAGCUUCUCACGACCCAGCCCGGGAUGUCUGACAGCAUCAUUUCCACUGCAUCCUAUGGGCCAGAAAGGCGGUGCGCUUCCCAGCCUUGGCCUGGCCACAUAGUGUCCUGGAGGCCAGAGUGAGCGUCCACCAGAGAGCCCAUCCUAGAAGCUGGUCCCGUCCUGCCCAGCAGCCCGGCGGGCCUCUUCCUCCACACACGCGGGACCCAGGGUGUGCUCCCUCCCUCGAACACAGGCCAUUUCCUCCUGUGUUUGUGUGAAAAUGAGAACAAACCACAGAGCCUGCACAGCUGCGGCCCAGACCAAGGAGGAGCCCCGCUCCCAGCCCCUCCGCCCGCUGGCUGGGCUGGUCCCCGGAAGCUGCGGCUCAGGUGCAGGGACGAAGCAACAUCUCCACAGAGCAUCGUGUGCUCACGUUGCGGGGGAAGUAGCAUCUGACAUUGAUGCAGGCCGAGACAGCGUGCAGUGUAGAUUGCAGAACACGUGUGCCUUCAGAAUGUCAGCAAGGUGCCACCCCUGCAGGAAGCAGCCUGGCAGUGCCUCAGGCAGUUAGACAUCGAGUUACUGGGUGACCCGGCACUUCUGCUCCCGGGUGUCUAUCCAAGGCUUCGAAACGGACUCCGACAGAUACUGGCAGUAUUCACAAUAGCAAAAGGUCAGAGCAAGCCGUGUCCAUCAACUGAAGACCAGAUAAACAGUGUGGUCUAGCCACACAGGAGAACGUGACUCAGCCAUGAAGAGGAAUGAACCUUUUCAUUGCAGCACUAUUUAAAAUAGCCAAGACAUGGAAGCACCUAAAUGUCCAUUGACAGAAAAGUGGAUAAAGAAGGUUGGUACCUAUAUAUGGUGGAAUAUGACUCAGCCAUAAAAAAGAAGGAAAUAAUGCCAUUUGCAGCAACAUGAAUAGACCUAGAGAUGAUCAUACUAAGUGAAGUAAGUCAGAA